rnacentral:rRNA from 1 species
UACGUAGGGUGCGAGCGUUGUCCGGAAUUAUUGGGCGUAAAGGGCUCGUAGGCGGUUUGUCGCGUCGGGAGUGAAAUCCACUGGACUUAACGUGGUGGCUUCGCUUUCGAUUACGGGCAGGACGUGGAGGUAUGCAGGGGAGAACGGAAGUUCCUGGUGUAGCGGUGAAAUGCGCAGAUAAUCAGGAAGAACACCGGUGGCG